rnacentral:ncRNA from 1 species
UGCCCCGGCCGGGGCGUAACAAACAGGCCAUCCCGUGGGAGCGACCCCGUAAAAAGCGUA